GCGGGAAUAGCUCAGUUGGUAGAGCACUCAAGGUAACCUUGAGGGGUCGCGAGUUCGAGUCUCGUUUCCCGCU
rnacentral:tRNA from 1 species